rnacentral:rRNA from 1 species
UCAGGAUGAACGCUAGCUACAGGCUAACACAUGCAAGUCGAGGGGUAGCAGGGUAGCAAUACCGCUGACGACCGGCGCACGGGUGAGUAACACGUAUCCAACCUUCCCAUAACUCAGGGAUAGCCUUUCGAAAGAAAGAUUAAUACCUGAUAGUACUUUUUCAAGGCAUCUUGAGAAAGUUAAAGAUUUAUUGGUUAUGGAUGGGGAUGCGUUCCAUUAGAUAGUUGGUGAGGUAACGGCUCACCAAGUCUUCGAUGGAUAGGGGUUCUGAGAGGAAGGUCCCCCACAUUGGUACUGAGACACGGACCAAACUCCUACGGGAGGCAGCAGUGAGGAAUAUUGGUCAAUGGGCGAGAGCCUGAACCAGCCAAGUAGCGUGAAGGAUGAAGGUCCUAUGGAUUGUAAACUUCUUUUAUAGUAGAAUAAAGUGAUCCACGUGUGGAUUUUUGUAUGUAUACUAUGAAUAAGGAUCGGCUAACUCCGUGCCAGCCGCAGC